AGCCGAAGGGAAACCGAGUCUUAAUUGGGCGUUAAGUUGCAGGGUAUAGACCCGAAACCCGGUGAUCUAGCCAUGGGCAGGUUGAAGGUUGGGUAACACUAACUGGAGGACCGAACCGACUAAUGUUGAAAAAUUAGCGGAUGACCUGUGGCUGGGGGUGAAAGGCCAAUCAAACCGGGAGAUAGCUGGUUCUCCCCGAAAGCUAUUUAGGUAGCGCCUCGUGAACUCAUCUCCGGGGGUAGAGCACUGUUUCGGCUAGGGGGCCAUCCCGGCUUACCAACCCGAUGCAAACUGCGAAUACCGGAGAAUGUUAUCACGGGAGACACACGGCGGGUGCUAACGUCCGUCGUGAAGAGGGAAACAACCCAGACCGCCAGCUAAGGUCCCAAAGUCAUGGUUAAGUGGGAAACGAUGUGGGAAGGCCCAGACAGCCAGGAUGUUGGCUUAGAAGCAGCCAUCAUUUAAAGAAAGCGUAAUAGCUCACUGGUCGAGUCGGCCUGCGCGGAAGAUGUAACGGGGCUAAACCAUGCACCGAAGCUGCGGCAGCGACACUUUAGUGUUGUUGGGUAGGGGAGCGUUCUGUAAGCCGUUGAAGGUGUCCUGUGAGGGGUGCUGGAGGUAUCAGAAGUGCGAAUGCUGACAUAAGUAACGAUAAAGCGGGUGAAAAGCCCGCUCGCCGGAAGACCAAGGGUUCCUGUCCAACGUUAAUCGGGGCAGGGUGAGUCGACCCCUAAGGCGAGGCCGAAAGGCGUAGUCGAUGGGAAACGGGUUAAUAUUCCCGUACUUGGUGUUACUGCGAAGGGGGGACGGAGAAGGCUAUGUUGGCCGGGCGACGGUAGUCCCGGUUUAAGCGUGUAGGUGUGUGUUCCAGGUAAAUCCGGUUCACUUUAACACUGAGGCGUGAUGACGAGGCACCACGGUGCUGAAGCAACAAAUGCCCUGCUUCCAGGAAAAGCCUCUAAGCAUCAGGUAACAUCAAAUCGUACCCCAAACCGACACAGGUGGUCAGGUAGAGAAUACCAAGGCGCUUGAGAGAACUCGGGUGAAGGAACUAGGCAAAAUGGUGCCGUAACUUCGGGAGAAGGCACGCUGACACGUAGGUGAAGUGAUUUACUCACGGAGCUGAAGUCAGUCGAAGAUACCAGCUGGCUGCAACUGUUUAUUAAAAACACAGCACUGUGCAAACACGAAAGUGGACGUAUACGGUGUGACGCCUGCCCGGUGCCGGAAGGUUAAUUGAUGGGGUCAGCGCAAGCGAAGCUCCUGAUCGAAGCCCCGGUAAACGGCGGCCGUAACUAUAACGGUCCUAAGGUAGCGAAAUUCCUUGUCGGGUAAGUUCCGACCUGCACGAAUGGCGUAAUGAUGGCCAGGCUGUCUCCACCCGAGACUCAGUGAAAUUGAACUCGCUGUGAAGAUGCAGUGUACCCGCGGCAAGACGGAAAGACCCCGUGAACCUUUACUAUAGCUUGACACUGAACAUUGAGCCUUGAUGUGUAGGAUAGGUGGGAGGCUUUGAAGCGUGGACGCCAGUCUGCGUGGAGCCGACCUUGAAAUACCACCCUUUAAUGUUUGAUGUUCUAACGUGGACCCGUAAUCCGGGUUGCGGACAGUGUCUGGUGGGUAGUUUGACUGGGGCGGUCUCCUCCUAAAGAGUAACGGAGGAGCACGAAGGUUGGCUAAUCCUGGUCGGACAUCAGGAGGUUAGUGCAAUGGCAUAAGCCAGCUUGACUGCGAGCGUGACGGCGCGAGCAGGUGCGAAAGCAGGUCAUAGUGAUCCGGUGGUUCUGAAUGGAAGGGCCAUCGCUCAACGGAUAAAAGGUACUCCGGGGAUAACAGGCUGAUACCGCCCAAGAGUUCAUAUCGACGGCGGUGUUUGGCACCUCGAUGUCGGCUCAUCACAUCCUGGGGCUGAAGUAGGUCCCAAGGGUAUGGCUGUUCGCCAUUUAAAGUGGUACGCGAGCUGGGUUUAGAACGUCGUGAGACAGUUCGGUCCCUAUCUGCCGUGGGCGCUGGAAGACUGAGGGGGGCUGCUCCUAGUACGAGAGGACCGGAGUGGACGCAUCACUGGUGUUCGGGUUGUCAUGCCAAUGGCACUGCCCGGUAGCUAAAUGCGGAAAAGAUAAGUGCUGAAAGCAUCUAAGCACGAAACUUGCCCCGAGAUGAGUCUUCCCUGAGACUUUGAGUCUCCUGAAGGAACGUUAAAGACGAUGACGUUGAUAGGCCGGGUGUGUAAGCGCAGCGAUGCGUUGAGCUAACCGGUACUAAUGAACCGUGAGGCUUAACCUUACAACGCCGA
rnacentral:rRNA from 1 species